GAUGAACGCUGGCGGCGUGCCUAAUACAUGCAAGUCGAGCGGCAGCACGGUCUUCGGACUGGUGGCGAGCGGCGGACGGCUGAGUAACGCGUAGGAACGUACCCCAAAGUGAGGAAUAACUGCCCGAAAGGGUGGCUAAUGCCGCAUGUGGGCUUCGGACUAAAGUCUUUGGACGCUUUGGGAACGGCCUGCGUAAGAUUAGCUUGUUGGUGAGGUAAUGGCUCACCAAGGCGACGAUCUUUAGCUGGUCUGAGAGGAUGAUCAGCCAGACUGGAACUGAGACACGGUCCAGACUCCUACGGGAGGCAGCAGUAGGGAAUUUUCCACAAUGGGCGAAAGCCUGAUGGAGCAACGCCGCGUGCAGGAUGAAUGCCUUCGGGUUGUAAACUGCUUUUAUGUGCGAAGAAUAUGACGGUAACACAUGAAUAAGGGUCGGCUAACUACGUGCCAGCAGCCGCGGUAA
rnacentral:rRNA from 1 species